rnacentral:rRNA from 1 species
CGCGUAGGCGGACCGAUAAGUCGGGUGUGAAAACUGGUGGCUCAACUGCCAGCCUGCAUUCGAUACUGCCGGUCUUGAGUACAGGAGAGGAAAGCGGAAUUCCAGGUGUAGCGGUGAAAUGCGUAGAUAUCUGGAAGAACACCAGUAGCGAAGGCGGCUUUCUGGACUGAUACUGACGCUGAAGCGCGAAGGCUAGGGGAGCAAACAGGAUUAGAUACCCCUGGUAGUCC